GAGGUUGUAGUUCAGUGGUAGAGCGCUUGCCUACCACACAUGAGGCCCUGGGUUUGAUCCCCAGCACCACA
rnacentral:tRNA from 1 species